rnacentral:tRNA from 1 species
AAUAAAAGUGUCCAGGAGCGGGAAUCGAACCCACAACCUUCUGCUUACCGGGCAGGUGCCAUGUCCACUAGGUCUUUUUCAU